rnacentral:rRNA from 1 species
UACGUAGGCAGCAAGCGUUGUUCGGAGUUACUGGGCGUAAAGGGUGUGUAGGCGGUUCUUUAAGUUUGCUGUGAAAUCUCCCGGCUUAACCGGGAGGGUGCGGUGAAUACUGAGGGACUAGAGUACGGGAGAGGAAAGUGGAAUUCCUGGUGUAGCGGUGAAAUGCGUAGAUAUCAGGAGGAACACCGGUGGUGUAGACGGCUUUCUGGACUGUAACUGACGCUGAGACACGAAAGCGUGGGUAGCAAACAGG